rnacentral:rRNA from 1 species
AUUGAACGCUGGCGGCAUGCCUUACACAUGCAAGUCGAACGGUAACGCGGGGCAACCUGGCGACGAGUGGCGAACGGGUGAGUAAUGCAUCGGAACGUGCCCAGUAGUGGGGGAAAGCCCGGCGAAAGCCGGAUUAAUACCGCAUACGACCUACGGGAGAAAGGGGGGGAUCGCAAGACCUCUCGCUAUUGGAGCGGCCGAUGUCAGAUUAGCCAGUUGGUGGGGUAAAGGCCUACCAAGGCGACGAUCUGUAGCUGGUCUGAGAGGACGACCAGCCACACUGGGACUGAGACACGGCCCAGACUCCUACGGGAGGCAGCAGUGGGGAAUUUUGGACAAUGGGCGAAAGCCUGAUCCAGCCAUGCCGCGUGCGGGAAGAAGGCCUUCGGGUUGUAAACCGCUUUUGUCAGGGAAGAAAUCUUCUGAGUUAAUACCUCGGGAGGAUGACGGUACCAGAAGAAUAAGCACCGGCUAACUACGUGCCAGCCGCCGCCGUAA